GUCUUCGUGGCGCAGUUGGUUAGCGCGUCAGUCUCAUAUCACGUGAUAUGAUUCAAUCGGAAGAUUGGGCCAUCUGAAGGUCGUGAGUUCGAGCCUCACCGAGGACA
rnacentral:tRNA from 1 species